AUUUCACACCAGUUGACGUGUGGUCUGUGGGCUGUAUCUUUGCGGAAAUGGUGAACCAAAAGCCACUAUUCCCUGGUGAUUCUGAGAUCGACGAACUGUUCAAGAUAUUCAGGGUGCUAGGUACACCGAAUGAACAAAGUUGGCCUGGAGUCAGUUGUUUGCCUGACUUCAAGACUGCUUUCCCCAGGUGGCAAUCUCAGGACCUGGCAACAAUAGUCCCAAAUC